rnacentral:tRNA from 1 species
GCGGGUGUAGCUCAAUGGUAGAGCUAAAGCUUCCCAAGCUUUAGAUGAGGGUUCGAUUCCCUUCAUCCGCUCCA